GAUGAACGCUAGCUACAGGCUUAACACAUGCAAGUCGAGGGGAAACGGCAUUGAGUGCUUGCACUCUUUGGACGUCGACCGGCGCACGGGUGAGUAACGCGUAUCCAACCUUCCCAUUACUGUGGGAUAACCUGCCGAAAGGCAGACUAAUACCGCUUAGUCUUCGCUGACGGCAUCAGAUUUGAAGUAAAGAUUUAUCGGUAAUGGAUGGGGAUGCGUCUGAUUAGCUUGUUGGCGGGGUAACGGCCCACCAAGGCUACGAUCAGUAGGGGUUCUGAGAGGAAGGUCCCCCAGAUUGGAACUGAGACACGGUCCAACCACCUACGGGAGGCAGCAGUGAGGAAUAGUGGUGAAUGGACGGAAGUCUGAACCAGCCAAGUAGCGUGCAGGAUGACGGCCCUAUGGGUUGUAAACUGCUUUUGUAUGGGGAUAAAGUUAGGGACGUGUCCCUAUUUGCAGGUACCAUACGAAUAAGGACCGGCUAAUUCCGUG
rnacentral:rRNA from 1 species